AUAUCCAUUUUGCCCUCUUCAUCCUUUUUUUUUUUUUUUUUUUUUUUAAAAGAGGAUUUUUAGUCUGGUGAUCUAACCCAGUUUUUAACAGAAUUUAAUUCUUCUGGGGCUUCGAAAAAUGAAAACAGAAAAAAACCCAAAUUCCCCUUGGACACCUUUUCGACUUUGCUACUACCACCUGAAAUGGUUUAAAGUCCUCAGUUGAUGUUAACUAUUUCAAUGGCAUCCAUUCAGCUUGUGCGCACGUAGAUUACAAAAAUUGUUGUGAGAGUGCUUUGAGUAGUCAGAGGUAAAAUAGCACAUAAAUGCACUAAAUGUUGAAGUUGUGCGACAUUUUUUUGAGACGCGAGGAGUCUCUCCUGGAAUGUAUUGCCAAACUCAGGCCUCAGACAUUCAAUAAAUAACUCUUAUGGAAACGUUGUGCAUGUUAAGAUAUGAAACAGGAAGGGAACAGCAGUUUCGUUGUUGUUGUUGUCAAUACUGUCAUCGAUUAGUUGAAUUAUUGCCACUUUCACAUUUGAGGUGUUUUGUUUCCUUUUUGUUUUUCAGACGUAUUACUUUUUUGUAUUUCAUCUUUUUAACAUGGAUAAUGCUUUUUUGUAAGUGAAGCCAUUUGUGAUGGGAGUGUUGGCAAGGACCAAAGUUGUUCUGGUAAAAUUAUUAGUUUCCAUGAUCUGUGACUGUAGACGUAUCCUUUGUUUUUUUUUUUGUUUGUUUUUUUUUCUUUUCUUUGUUUUCUUUUUUCUUUUUUUUUUCCCGUUCAUUCUUUUCUGUUUUUUUUUCCCUUUUUUUUUCUUCUAUUUACGUAUAAAACUAGAAAAUAAACAAAAAAAUCUGAGCUUACCCAAGAAGAAAAGCUGUAUCUUGUGAUUUCAUGUCAGUACAUCUUUAUCGUGUUCAGUUUAUUUUUCCUUGGGUAUGUUGUGAUGAACUGCUGUAAAUUUGUACAGUUCAUGUAAAUUGAUUGUGCGGAAGUUGUACAGAUUUCUAUAUUUUGGAAGAAAAGUUUUUUGUUUUUUUUCUCUGUAAUAAAAGAUUUCCUAUCUUGGCAUCAUAAUUCCCUUUGAA
ensembl:lncRNA